rnacentral:rRNA from 1 species
UACGGAGGGUGCAAGCGUUAAACGGAAUNACUGGGCGUAAAGCGCGCGUAGGCGGUUUUUUAAGUCGGAUGUGAAAGCCCCGGGCUCAACCUGGGAACUGCAUCCGAUACUGGAAGACUAGAAUGCGGGAGAGGGAGGUAGAAUUCCAUGUGUAGCAGUGAAAUGCGUAGAUAUAUGGAGGAAUACCAGUGNCGAAGGCGGCCUCCUGGCUCGACAUUGACNCUGAGGUGCGAAAGNGUGNGGAGCAAACGUC